AAUCUUAUAUUUUAUUUAAAAAUAUUAAAUUGCAAAUUUAAAGAUGGUUUUCUAAGAUUU
rnacentral:tRNA from 1 species